UACGUAGGGUGCAAGCGUUGUCCGGAAUUAUUGGGCGUAAAGAGCUCGUAGGCGGUCUGUCGCGUCGGCUGUGAAAACCCGGGGCUCAACCCCGGGCCUGCAGUCGAUACGGGCAGACUAGAGUGCGGUAGGGGAGACUGGAAUUCCUGGUGUAGCGGUGAAAUGCGCAGAUAUCAGGAGGAACAUCGGUGGCGAAGGCGGGUCUCUGGGCCGUAACUGACGCUGAGGAGCGAAAGCGUGGGGAGCGAACAGG
rnacentral:rRNA from 1 species